GCCUCGGUGGUCGAAUGGUUAAGACGUUGGCGCGUAAAGCCAAAGGUCCCUGGUUCAACCCCAGGCCGAGGUA
rnacentral:tRNA from 1 species